GACAGAGGUGCCAAGCGUUAGGCGGAAUCACUGGGCUUAAAGCGUGUGUAGGCGGAAUGGUAAGUACCUUGUGAAAUCCCACGGCUCAACCGUGGAAACUGCUCGGUAUACUGCUUUUUCUUGAGCCACUUAGGGGCUGUCGGAACAAACGGUGGAGCGGUGAAAUGCGUAGAUAUCGUUUUGGAACGCCAAAAGGGUGAAAACAGACAGCUGG
rnacentral:rRNA from 1 species